CGCCAAGUCGGUGGCUCCGGGUAUCCCCGGAGCUUGAUGCAAGAGGGA
rfam:Streptomyces albireticuli strain MDJK11, complete genome.